rnacentral:rRNA from 1 species
AGAGGGUGCGAGCGUUAAUCGGAAUUACUGGGCGUAAAGGGUGCGUAGGUGGUCUUAUAGGUCAGAUGUGAAAGCCCUGGGCUUAACCUGGGAACGGCAUUUGAAACUAUGAGACUAGAGUUCGGUAGAGGGAAGUGGAAUUUCCGGUGUAGCGGUGAAAUGCGUAGAUAUCGGAAGGAACACCAGUGGCGAAGGCGACUUCCUGGGCCGACACUGACACUGAGGCACGAAAGCGUGGGGAGCGAACAGGAUUAGAUACCCUGGUAGUCCACGCUGUAAACGAUGAGUACUAGAUGUUAGGGAGCUUAGACUCUUUAGUAUUGUAGCUAACGCGCUAAGUACUCCGCCUGGGGACUACGGCCGCAAGGUUA